rnacentral:rRNA from 1 species
GACAGAGGGGGCAAGCGUUGCUCGGAAUCACUGGGCGUAAAGGGCGCGUAGGCGGGAUGGCAAGUCGGUCGUGAAAUCCUUCGGCUCAACCGAAGAACGUCGGCCGAUACUGCCGUUCUUGAGGGAUGCAGAGGAGAUUGGAAUUCCCGGUGUAGCGGUGAAAUGUGUAGAGAUCGGGAAGAACACCCGUGGCGAAGGCAGCUCGCUGGGACGGUACUGACGCUGAGGCGCGAAAGCGUGGGGAGCAAACAGG